GCAAAAAAUAAUGUAAAACGCAUCGAUGUAAUUGAUGCGAUGUAUCAAAAAACCUAUGUAACCACGAUUUUCAGAUGUAAUAUCACACCAUUUUGAUGCUUUAGUACAUCUACCUUGAAAUUACACAAACAAGAAACCAAAAUUUAUUAUUAAGUCUAAUCUGUGUAAUAUUGACAUCGAAAAAAUGUGAAUAUUACACAGAAACAGCUGCAACCAAGUGGUUAUGUCGAAGUUGUGUACAAUUACACAAAUGCAACGCCAUAUCGCAUUCUUUUGCGAUGCAAAACUAAAUCGCGCAGCACUGCUUUGUCUUUGCGGGUGCUGGCCUGGCCUGGCCGACCGAGCAAGCUGCCAUAUUUGUUUCGGUGCGUUCAAAAACAAGGCGGAAAAUUGAAGAUUUUUUGUUUUAUUUGUUUUAUGCAGGUAAUUUGAGCAAUUUAUUGUUUUUUUAUUAAAUUGUUUAAUAUUUUCAGCUACAUUUUACAUGUUUCAGCUAAAAUUUCAGUCAACGGAAGCCAUCAAGGGAGCUAUCAACCACAGUACAGAUGGGAAUCGAUUGCAUUUUGCAUAGCUCGAUGUCCAGGAAGAAACGCCACCGAAAAAGGCUCGCAGGUCCGCAGUUGCGUCGGAUGUCGUCCUGUUGAGGUGGCCGGCCGCCGAAUUCACAUUAGCGAUCAUCGAUGCCACAAUGAAUUUGCUGCCAACGAUCGUGCAUCAUUCUUACCUCAACCCGAUGCAUCCAGAAAUGCAUGGAUAUGAUGACACCCUCGCAGCAACCUGAUGGGCGAUGUAGUAGUCCCUCCGAUACUCUUUUAUUUACUUCCACCUGGUUCCGGGUCGAAUAUGGAGCACAAUAUACGCUUCUACAGGCUCUCGGUCCCUCGUGGAACUGCUCAGCAGAACUUGCAUCGAUAGAAUA